UACGUAGGUGGCAAGCGUUAUCCGGAUUUACUGGGUGUAAAGGGCGUGUAGGCGGUUUUGCAAGUCAGAUGUGAAAUCUCCGGGCUUAACCCGGAAACUGCAUCUGAAACUGCAGAACUUGAGUACUGGAGAGGAUAGUGGAAUUCCUAGUGUAGCGGUAAAAUGCGUAGAUAUUAGGAGGAACACCAGUGGCGAAGACGACUAUCUGGACAGUAACUGACGCUGAGGCGCGAAAGCGUGGGGAGCAAACAGGAUUAGAUACCCGGGUAGUCCCU
rnacentral:rRNA from 1 species